UACGGAAGGCAGCAGUGGGGAAUAUUGGACAAUGGGCGAAAGCCUGAUCCAGCCAUGCCGCAUGAGUGAAGAAGGCCUUCGGGUUGUAAAGCUCUUUUAGUGAGAAAGAUAAUGACGGUACUCACAGAAGAAGUCCUGGCUAACUCCGUGCCAGCAGCCGCGGUAAUACGGAGAGGGCUAGCGUUAUUCGGAAUUAUUGGGCGUAAAGAGCGCGUAGGCUGAUUAGUAAGUUAAAAGUGAAAUCCCAAAGCUUAACUUUGGAAUUGCUUUUUAAAACUGCUAGUCUAGAGAUUGAAAGAGGAUAGAGGAAUUCCUAGUGUAGAGGUGAAAUUCGUAAAUAUUAGGAGGAACACCAGUGGCGAAGGCGUCUAUCUGGUUCAAAUCUGACGCUGAGGCGCGAAGGCGUGGGGAGCGAAACAGGGAUUAGGAUACCCGU
rnacentral:rRNA from 1 species